rnacentral:rRNA from 1 species
GAUGAACGCUGGCGGCGUGCCUAAUACAUGCAAGUCGAGCGAACAGACGAGGAGCUUACUCCUCUGACGUUAGCGGCGGACGGGUGAGUAACACGUGGAUAACCUACCUAUAAGACUGGGAUAACUUCGGGAAACCGGAGCUAAUACCGGAUAACAUGUUGAACCGCAUGGUUCAACAGUGAAAGACGGUCUUGCUGUCACUUAUAGAUGGAUCCGCGUCGCAUUAGCUAGUUGGUAAGGUAACGGCUUACCAAGGCAACGAUGCGUAGCCGACCUGAGAGGGUGAUCGGCCACACUGGAACUGAGACACGGUCCAGACUCCUACGGGAGGCAGCAGUAGGGAAUCUUCCGCAAUGGGCGAAAGCCUGACGGAGCAACGCCGCGUGAGUGAAGAAGGUCUUCGGAUCGUAAAACUCUGUUAUUAGGGAAGAACAAAUGCGUAAGUAACUAUGCACGUCUUGACGGUACCUAACCAGAAAGCCACGGCUAACUACGUG